CGGGGAGGUUUUAGUCGGUAGGCGCCGGACCGAACUUCGGCUCGGGGCGGCGAAUCCGACACUGCCCGGGAUGGUUCCCCGGGCAUCUUUUGAAGAUUUCCUCCUCG
rfam:Trachymyrmex cornetzi contig53708, whole genome shotgun sequence.